GGGGAAUUUUCCGCAAUGGGCGAAAGCCUGACGGAGCAAUACCGCGUGAGGGAGGAAGGCUCUUGGGUUGUAAACCUCUUUUCUCAGGGAAGAAGAUCUGACGGUACCUGAGGAAUAAGCAUCGGCUAACUCCGUGCCAGCAGCCGCGGUAAUACGGAGGAUGCAAGCGUUAUCCGGAAUUAUUGGGCGUAAAGCGUCCGCAGGUGGUUACUCAAGUCUGCUGUCAAAUACCAGAGCUUAACUCUGGAAAGGCGGUGGAAACUGAGAAACUAGAGUCCGGUAGGGGUAGCGGGAAUUCCCAGUGUAGCGGUGAAAUGCGUAGAUAUUGGGAAGAACAUCGGUGGCGAAGGCGCGCUACUGGGCCGGAACUGACACUCAGGGACGAAAGCUAGGGUAGCGAAAGGGAUUAGAUACCCCUGUAGUC
rnacentral:rRNA from 1 species